UUUGCGUCACUGAUGGAUGGACCCGCGGUGCAUUAGCUAGUUGGUGAGGUAACGGCUCACCAAGGCCACGAUGCAUAGCCGACCUGAGAGGGUGAUCGGCCACACUGGGACUGAGACACGGCCCAGACUCCUACGGGAGGCAGCAGUAGGGAAUCUUCGGCAAUGGACGAAAGUCUGACCGAGCAACGCCGCGUGAGUGAAGAAGGUUUUCGGAUCGUAAAACUCUGUUGUUAGAGAAGAACAAGGAUGAGAGUAAAAUGUUCAUCCCUUGACGGUAUCUAACCAGAAAGCCACGGCUAACUACGUGCCAGCAGCCGCGGUAAUACGUAGGUGGCAAGCGUUGUCCGGAUUUAUUGGGCGUAAAGCGAGCGCAGGCGGUUUCUUAAGUCUGGUGUGAAAGCCCCCGGCUCAACCGGGGAGGGUCAUUGGAAACUGGGAGACUUGAGUGCAGAAGAGGAGAGUGGAAUUCCAUGUGUAGCGGUGAAAUGCGUAGAUAUAUGGAGGAACACCAGUGGCGAAGGCGGCUCUCUGGUCUGUAACUGACGCUGAGGCUCGAAAGCGUGGGGAGCGAACAGGAUUAGAUACCCUGGUAGUCCACGCCGUAAACGAUGAGUGCUAAGUGUUGGAGGGUUUCCGCCCUUCAGUGCUGCAGCAAACG
rnacentral:rRNA from 1 species